AUUGAACGCUGGCGGCAUGCCUUACACAUGCAAGUCGAACGGUAACAGGUCUUCGGAUGCUGACGAGUGGCGAACGGGUGAGUAAUACAUCGGAACGUGCCCGAGAGUGGGGGAUAACGAGGCGAAAGCUUUGCUAAUACCGCAUACGAUCUCAGGAUGAAAGCAGGGGACCGCAAGGCCUUGCGCUCACGGAGCGGCCGAUGGCAGAUUGGGGAGUUGGUGAGGUAAAGGCUCACCAAGGCGACGAUCUGUAGCCGGUCUGAGAGGACGACCAGCAACAGUGGAACUGAGACACGGUCCAGACUCCUACGGGAGGCAGCAGUGGGGAAUGUUGGACAAUGGGCGCAAGCCUGAUCCAGCAAUGCCGCGUGCAGGAUGAAGGCCUUCGGGUUGUAAACUGCUUUUGUACGGAACGAAACGGUGAGCUCUAAUACAGUUUGCUAAUGACGGUACCGUAAGAAUAAGCACCGGCUAACUACGUGCCAGCCGCCGCAGUAACAC
rnacentral:rRNA from 1 species